rnacentral:piRNA from 1 species
UGCUGAACCCUCAGUUGCUCUCCU